rnacentral:rRNA from 1 species
GACGAACGCUGGCGGCGUGCCUAAUACAUGCAAGUAGAACGCUGAAGAGAGGAGCUUGCUCUUCUUGGAUGAGUUGCGAACGGGUGAGUAACGCGUAGGUAACCUGCCUUGUAGCGGGGGAUAACUAUUGGAAACGAUAGCUAAUACCGCAUAACAAUGGAUGACCCAUGUCAUUUAUUUGAAAGGGGCAAAUGCUCCACUACAAGAUGGACCUGCGUUGUAUUAGCUAGUAGGUGAGGUAACGGCUCACCUAGGCGACGAUACAUAGCCGACCUGAGAGGGGGUCCGGCCCACCUGGACCGAGGCACCGGCCCGGCCUCCUCGGGAGGGCGCCAGAGGGGAUUCUCCGCCAUUGGGGCAACCCUGACCGAGCAACGCCGCGUGAGUGAAGAAGGUUUUCGGAUCGUAAAGCUCUGUUGUAAGUCAAGAACGAGUGUGAGAGUGGAAAGUUCACACUGUGACGGUAGCUUACCAGAAAGGGACGGCUAACUACGUG